GGUAGGAGAGCGUUCUAAGGGCGGUGAAGUCAGACCGGAAGGACUGGUGGAGCGCUUAGAAGUGAGAAUGCCGGUAUGAGUAGCGAAAGAAGGGUGAGAAUCCCUUCCACCGAAUAUCUAAGGUUUCCUGAGGAAGGCUCGUCCGCUCAGGGUUAGUCGGGACCUAAGCCGAGGCCGAUAGGCGUAGGCGAUGGACAACAGGUAGAGAUUCCUGUACCAGUGCUAAUUGUUUAACCGAUGGGGUGACACAGAAGGAUAGGGAAUCGCACGAAUGGAAAUGUGCGUCCAAGCAGUGAGUGUGAGAAGUAGGCAAAUCCGCUUCUCGCGAAGCAUGAGCUGUGA
rnacentral:rRNA from 1 species